GUGGGGAAUAUUGGUCAAUGGGGGAAACCCUGAACCAGCAACGCCGCGUGAAGGAAGAAGGCUUUCGGGUUGUAAACUUCUUUGACAGGGGACGAAAGCAAUGACGGUACCCUGAAAACAAGCCACGGCUAACUACGUGCCAGCAGCCGCGGUAAUACGUAGGUGGCGAGCGUUGUCCGGAUUUACUGGGUGUAAAGGGCGUGUAGGCGGGGCGGUAAGUCAGAUGUGAAAUGUAGGGGCUCAACCCCUGAAUUGCAUUUGAAACUAUCGUUCUUGAGUGAUGGAGAGGCAGGCGGAAUUCCGUGUGUAGCGGUGAAAUGCGUAGAUAUACGGAGGAACACCAGUGGCGAAGGCGGCCUGCUGGACAUUAACUGACGCUGAGGCGCGAAAGCGUGGGGAGCAAACAGGAUUAGAAACCCGUGUAGUCC
rnacentral:rRNA from 1 species